CACGGAGUUAGCCGGUGCUUCUUCUGCGAGUAACGUCAAUUGAUGAGCGUAUUAAGCUCACCACCUUCCUCCUCGCUGAAAGUGCUUUACAACCCGAAGGCCUUCUUCACACACGCGGCAUGGCUGCAUCAGGCUUGCGCCCAUUGUGCAAUAUUCCCCA
rnacentral:rRNA from 1 species